rnacentral:lncRNA from 1 species
AUUUUUUGAAAUGAAAUAUAGAUUCAGAAUUGUGCAGAAGAAGCUAAUUCUGUUCUGUUUACCACUACCAAAGGCAACAAAUCAAAGGGCAUAGAAUCAGAUCCCAGAUAAUCAUCUAAAAGAGCUUUAUAUCUUGCCAGAGAAGUUGUACGCAUUUCAACAAUUAGAGAUCCUUUAUUCGCUUUUCUAGUACUAUAAAUUCUUCAUGGUGUGUUAUUAUGAAAAUAUGAAUAAAUUAUCUAACAAAAAUCUUCUUUAUACUAGAUUUCAAGAUUUUUAUACGCCCUGAAUUCAUAUGUCAUUUGAUAUGGGUGUCACGUGUUGCUCCGGUCCCUGGAGAAUACAAGGCUAUAAUUUCAGUAACAAAAUGAAAGUACGUAGCAGUAAGCAUCCGACAUCUGCACAAGUAACGUCAACAGAAGCUUUUUCCCGCAAAUCAUAAACGCGUUCAUGGCACUACAGAAACUCCUGGAGUAAAAAGACAGUGAAUUCUGAAUUGUUGCUUAUUUCCUCCGAAGAAAAGAUUUUUCACUUUUUAUAACUUUUAUGGUUGGCAUAUUAGAUAUGCGGUCUUAAUAGAAUCUUCCAAAAAUGGAUGUCUCUAUUGGAAUAUUGAUGGUUGUCGAAGCCAACAAAAAUAAAUUCUUACUCUAAAUAAAUUGUGUGUAGUGAUUGAGCAGGGUUGUGUCCACAGAGAUCGGUAAUUUUUAAAUCAUUUUAAAACACAAAACAUAAAAUGAGAGUUUUGUUGACAAUAAUAAAAAUCAAAUUAAAAUAACAAGAAUGCAAAUUAAAGUUGUAAUUCAAAUUGGAGAAAGUUCUGGUUGAAGGAAUUAACUCAGCUUGAUUCGACUACUGAUCAUUGAUUCAAAUAUAGAUUUUUAUUACUCAUGAAUAGACCGGUUAUAGCUACUGAGACCCUCUAAUAGCCAAUCUCUCCUUAACUAGUCGGUAACCAAGGUACGACCGUUGGUUAUUUCCCUAAUCAAUAGACAACCCUAGAUACGAUCAUAUGAUUUAAUCAAUUGACAGCCUGAAAAACCAGAGAGACCCAAAUCCUAAUCAACACAUAUGAUGAUUCAUUUAAAUUAAAUUGUUUAUUCUCACAACACAACUCUCUGCUAUGUUAUUUGUCACAAACAUUAAAUUCUUCAUAUGAUGAAUCCUUUAAUUGACAAUAGAUUAAGUUGAUAAUUAAAUAGUAGCCAAUUACCUAAUUAACAAACAUAAUCAUGAAAAUAAUUCAGAGAAUAAACAAAUACCCAAAAAGUAAUAAAACAAUUAAGGCACAAGAAAUAUCUCACAGUAGUGAUGAAUCAAAGCUUCAUUAUCCUUCAACCAGAAAAAUAAGUUUAGUUCUUCAUAGAGAGAAGAGAAAAAUUAGAUCUAUGGUUUCUUUCUUUUCUCCAAAAUCCCCCUCUUUCACAAUAAAUUCCUCCCUUAAAUACAUUCUCUCUCUCUCCUCUUUUAGAGUUCUAUUUAAAAUAAAAUACUAAAUAUUAAAUUCGUAAUUAAAAAAAUAGCCAAAAUUACAAAACACGUUAAACUAAAAACUGCAGAUUCGCAGUUGACAGCACGCGCCCACUUUCAUAAGAUAGAAUAAGAACAUUCAACCACCAAGAAGAUCCAUUCAAAAUUCAAGUGCAACAAGAUUUAAUAACCCUCUCAAUAACUUCACUCCAUGCACUCAAAGUGUUUAGGGUGUCAUUUAUCCACUCAAAUCAAAUCAAAGAAUGCUAUUACCAUAAGCUUGCUCAUAUAUCACAUAUCAAUCCACAAAACAUGAAUAAAAUGCAAAAAUUUAAGGGUCUUAAAAGGGUUAUAAUGGGGUUAAAUAGGUGAAAUGAAAAAUAAAGGUCUACGAAAGAAAAAGAGAUCAAAACGAGAAGAAUGAACUCAUUGAAUGAACUUAUGAUAUCAAAAUGCUUAUUUUUACUCAAGUCACCAAGAAUGUAAACAUAUUUUUUUUAUUUUUUCUUUUUCUUUUUUUUUCUUGUUUUGUUUUUGUUUUUUUUUUGUUUUGUUUUUUAAUCAAACAAAAGAAACGAACCUUGCACAAUUUAAUUCAAGCAUAAUGCUUGUUGAUCUAAUUGAGAAACUUUAAUACAAGGUAGAAAAAGCAACAAAAGAUAUCCACACAAUGAGUCCAAAAAUCUCCUUAAAUUGAGGCUCAAAAAGAAGAAAAAUGGUUAAGUACACGGAGAGAAUUAGAUGGGUAAUGGUUAAGGCUCAAACAAAUGUAGUAAAUAAAGGUCUUCGAGUAGAGAAAAAGGAAAAUGCGAGAAUAGAAAAAUGGUAAAUGGUUUGCCCUCAUCAUUUUAAUGCAUAAAAUCCCGUAAUAUGGCUUCAACAUGCAUAACAAAGCAAGUUCUAGAAUAAACAAACUAGUAUUGAUAUUCACAUAACAAAAAUAAUUAGAGUAAAGUGGUUGCUCAUAGGCUCAAAUCAUCACAAAGUUGGUAAAUUUGCCAUCAAAUCAUGUACACUCUUCAAAUGAAUCAACCAUCAAUAGUGGUGUAGAAUGAAAAGAAGGUAUGAGUGAGAUAUAAAAGAAAAGGUAAAAAAAAUAAUAAGCGAAAAAGAUGUAUGUAGUAAAAAA